GAGAUCACCUCUCUUGGUGUCUUCUGGUGAGCUCAGCUGAAGGCAGGAUGCAAGAUCAUAAAAAUCAUCCUUAUUAACAGUCUAUUAGUAAAUAAACUUCAAGAUAAUGUAAGAUGAGACCACGUACUGAAUGAAAGUCAUUGUAGUCAGCUUAAAUAGAACUGCUGGGCAGUAUCAGAAAACGGGUGGUCAGCGGGGGAAUGGAGCUGAUAGACCCCUCUGCCCUCAUGAGACACCAUUUGGAUUACCGCAUCCAGGCCUGACAUCCCCUAUUCAAGAAAGAUACAGAGCUGUUGAGGUUGGUCCAGAGGAGGGCUACAAAGAUGACGAAAGGGAUGGAGCACCUCUCCUAUAAAGAAAGGCAAAGGCACUCAGGCUUUUUCAGCUUGGAGAAGAGAAAGUUCCCAAGAGACUUCAUUGCAGCUUUCCAGUACUUAAAAGGAGCUUACUGAUAGGAGGCAGACCAACUUCUUAAGAUGAUCUGAUAGCAUUAAUAUAAGAGGGAAUUUUUUUUAAACUAAGAGUGGAGAUUUAGGUUAGAUAUUAGGCAGAAAUUCUUUAUUCAGAGGGUGGUGAGGGACUAAAACAGGCAAACCAGAGAAGCUGUGGAUGCCCUAUUUCUGGAAGCUUUUAUGGCAGUGUAUGGGAACUAUUGACCCUGGCCUGAACCUCUGAUUGACCACCUGAGGCAAGCAGUGAGUCAGCCACAGGAGCACAGGUGAAGGCGAUUCACCUGUGCUACCAGAAGGGGUGGAGCCUGGUUCCACCUCUCCUAGAUCCCAUUUAUAUGCUGACUACCACUGAGGAAGGAUCUCUUUCUGGAGAUUGCUCCCUGAGGAGUUUACUCUGAGCUUACAACACUGUUGAGCUUUUCCAUUUAUUUUGAUUAUCUUUCCAUUGCAAUAAUCUCACUAAGCCUGACCUUUCUACAUCUAUUGAUUGUACAGCCAGGUUGGAUAAGGCCCGGGAAAAGAGGGGUAAACUCUCCCCAGAAAAGUUUUGGAACUAGGUGAUCUUUGAGGUCCCUUCCAAUCCAAAUCAUUCAAUGUCUAGAUAACUAUCUAGCUACUUAAUACAAAGUUCACAACAUUUGAAAAGAGAUUCAGAGCUUUCCAUUUGACGUAGAAACAUGUAAGUGCAUUAGUUAAGAAUUAUGACUAAUUUCUCUGGUUAUGCUGAAGGUUUUUCUACAGCAGUGGCAGUUCUCUUGACAUGAGCACAGAAGGUGAAAGUUGAAAAUCCCUGAAGAAUUAAUUUCAGUUGUAUAAUAUGGCUACAUAGGAAGAAACCUGCAUCUUAAAUAUUUAUACAAUGAUGUUGACGUAGUCAGCAUGGAAAUAAUUUUAAAAAGCUGUUAAAUCAAAAUUAUCUUCUAGGUAGGUUAGAAGGAUGGGAUAAUGUACCAACAGCAGAUUACUACAGUGAUCAUCCCUGUCAGUCUUGCUUACUACAAAUUGCAUUUUGAUGUGGAGUCACUACAUUUUCUUAGUUAACUUCGAUCAUUAGCUUGGCCCAUUCCUGCAGUAUAUGUGUGUUUUCUACCUUAACACCUGUUCACAGACAAACAAAAUGUGUGGCAAGACAUAAGUAGACAUUCAACAUUAGUAGGUGGCUCAAGAUAAUGAGAUACAAAACUAAUUUAUUUUAUUUCAAGGAAAAGCUUCAGUGGCAAUUUCAUUGUCACUGCAGCUAAGGUUGCCUUCGAUUUUCAUGUUAUCAACAAUCCCUUUUUUGUUGGUGAGAAUGAAAUCAUGCACAGCAGCUCUCCUUGUUGCCCCCUCUAUCACUUGGAUAAGGAAACUAUGAAUAUGCUCCAGGAACCUCCUAGAAUGCUUAUGCUGUGUUGUCCCUAUGGUAGAUUUCAUGAGCACUAGGGCUUGUGAAUGUGAGACUACUGUUACUUGUAUGUAGGGGCGUUCAUCCAUGUUGUUUAUCCAUGGUUGAGAGGCCUGUAGCAAGCCUGUCCCUGCCCUACUUUAAUCCUGAUCCUUAAGCUUUUGUUGGGCACCUCAUCCAUACCACAGGAAGGUCCAGGCACUCCAGUUGGUCACUGACAUAUGGAGUGACACCCUCUCUUCAUUUACCCUACCUGACUUUCCUAAAGAACCUGUGUUCUUUCACUACAACCCUCCAGUCAUGAAAGCCAUCAAACCAAUUCCCCAUGAUUGUGAUAAAUCAUAGCUCUGCAAGUGUCUGUACUCUAAGUUCUCUUGUUUAUUCCUCAUAGAAUGGUUUUUAGUUGGAAGGGACCUUUAAGAUCAUCUAUUUCCAACCUCCCUACUAUAGGCAGGGACACCUCCCUCUAAAUCAGGUUGCUCAAAGUGCCAUUCAGCCUGGCUUUAAAUGCUUGCAGGGAGGGGCAUCCACAAUCUCACUGGGCUACCUGUUCCAGCAUCUCACCACCCUCGCAGAACUUUUUCCUAAUAUCUAGCCUAAAUCUACCCUCUUUCAGUUUAAAACCAUUUCUCUUCAUCCUGUCACUUCCUGCCCUUAUAAAAAGUCCCUCCCCAGCUUUCCUGUAGGCUCCUUUCAGGUACUGGAAGGUCGCUAGAAGAUAUUCUUGGAGUUACAUCUGUAACAUUAGAAAAAGUGAAUAAUAAUAGCACAAGGAAAGUACAAAAAAUUAGGCUUUCACAAUUUUGAACUCUGAAAUAUUAGCAGCACACUGAGACAUAUAAAUUCAUUUAGCUGUUUCUGUGGUGGUACUGAGCCCUAAGCUUUGAGUUCAGAGACUUUAAAUACUACCUUAUAAAAAGUCAUAUAUGUAGAUUUGAAUAAGGCCAAACCCAUCAUACAAGGGUUGUUCUAGAGGCUAACUAUGUGGGCCAAAAAAUUAUACUUUUUUUGGUAAAUGUGUCUAGUUGCAAUUUCUAAACUGCGGCAUUUUUAUCUGAUGUACUUACAGAGCACCAUAAUAUGAAUGAACUAUAAAUGUGAUUAAUUUCUUUUAAUAAAUUAAUAGUUCAAAUAUCUCCAAAUAAGACAAAUCCAAAACUCGUGUUUGAAUAGCUUCUUUCCUCUACACUGCCCGGAUUUCCAUAUGCCCUGUAAAUCCUGGAACACAAUGUUCCAAUAAAAGUUCCAGUAACAUUAACAGAGGCUUUAAUAAUUAAUAUUAACAUACAUGUUACUACUUUACUGUUUUUAUUUACUAUAUUCCUGUUCAGGUUUUAAAGUAUUUCUCAAACACUCUCUGUCAGAGUGUUGCAAUGAGAGCUCAUGUCCAUUGCUGCCAACUGCUCUUCAGUUACUGCUAACCUUGACACAGUUUCACAUUUCAUAUUGUUAUUCUUUAUUCUGUUUUUAUUAUUUAACCUUCAGCAGUUCAUCUUGCUUUCAGUGAGUUCAGUUUAUUCACUGGUGCUGAUUGUUACAUUGGCCUUUAAUGAUUGACCUGUUUUUUUUUUCUACAUUAUAAAUCUAUGACCUGUACCAAUUUUACCUGUACUUUCUAAUGAAUCCCAAUUUACAAAAGAAUAAAAUUUAGAACAAAUUCAUGCAAGGAUGAAGCAUGCAUUUUUAAUGGUGAAACUUUAUUUAGUGGUUUAUUUGGCACUUCUAAAAUUUUAACCAGCUACAUACUAGCUGGCAGUAUUAAUGAAAACAACAUAGAAAAAUAUAAGCAUAAUAAUAUUUGUCCAGUUUAUAAACACUGAUGGUGGGAUGACACUGGAGCAAUAUGAAGCUUCUGAAUAACUAAGCAUUGUAAUAAUGAACUCUGAAAUUCUUUUUAUUCUAUUAUGCUUAAUAAGUACUCAGUCUGUCACCUGCACAGAAACUUAUGCAUUUUUAAAGACAAUAGUACAACUAAAUCAAAAAGUCGUAUAGCAGAUGUUAGAGUUCACCCUGGGAUAUAUCCAUUUCAAAAUUCAUUGCGAGUACUUCUUGUGUUAAAGCCUUUCUUGCCAAGCAAUGUCCAGUUAGUCUUUAGCAUAACAUGACUGCGUAAGUCUUUAUUCAAAUAUGUGGAAAAGAAGAAAAUACAAGGUUGCCAUAAAUUUUAGUUAUUAUAAUAUGAUUGCAUGUAGAUGCUUAGCAAUAGGUUACUAAUAUAGUUUUGACAUGAGAUAGGUAUGUCCCAGGUGAGUCUUUCUUUAAAAUAUGAGUAGCUGAAUGCAGUUAACAGUGUAACAAAGGAACACUGAGGUAAAAAAAUGCCUCUGAAGAUGGAAUGGGAUUCUUCCUCAAUUCUUAAGAUUUUGGUUCUGAAACAUAGAUAGGCCAUAGAUGUGUCACUUUCUCAAAAAAUGAAGAGUGUCUGUCUACUGAUAUUCUUCACAUAACAUAUGGAAGCAUAAAUGACUGCAAAAGUGGAACAAGUGCAUGGAAUUAGGCAUUUUCUACCGUAUAAUCUUGUCUACAGCCCUUUUUUUUUAUAUCUUUUGUUUUCAUUUUUUAAAAGAAACCAGAUAACCAAGCAGAGUCCCAUUUACAACUAAACAAAAAUAUAUUAUAAUGAAGUAAAAUGACAAGGAUUUGUGGUUUAUUUAAUAAGAAAACUCUUAUUGUAUUCACAAGCUUAUGUGGAAGUUUCUUCCUUAUGAAGUAUUUAUGGCCAUGUUUUAUUUAUAGAAUGCUGCUGCUGUUGUGUGCCACAUAUCAUGCA